rnacentral:rRNA from 1 species
UACGUAGGGACCGAGCGUUGUCCGGAUUCAUUGGGCGUAAAGAGCUCGUAGGCGGCUGUUCAAGUCGAACGUGAAAACUCGGAGCUCAACUCCGAGCCUGCGUUCGAUACUGGACGGCUAGAGUCUGGUAGGGGGAUCUGGAAUUCCUGGUGUAGCGGUGGAAUGCGCAGAUAUCAGGAGGAACACCGGUGGCGAAGGCGGCUAUCUGGACAGUGACUGACGCUGAGACGCGAAAGCGUGGGGAGCAAACAGG